rnacentral:rRNA from 1 species
GAUGAACGCUGGCGGCGUGCCUAAUACAUGCAAGUCGAGCGAACAGACGAGGAGCUUGCUCCUCUGACGUUAGCGGCGGACGGGUGAGUAACACGUGGAUAACCUACCUAUAAGACUGGGAUAACUUCGGGAAACCGGAGCUAAUACCGGAUAAUAUAUUGAACCGCAUGGUUCAAUAGUGAAAGACGGUUUUGCUGUCACUUAUAGAUGGAUCCUCGCCGCAUUAGCUAGUUGGUAAGGUAACGGCUUACCAAGGCGACGAUGCGUAGCCGACCUGAGAGGGUGAUCGGCCACACUGGAACUGAGACACGGUCCAGACUCCUACGGGAGGCAGCAGUAGGGAAUCUUCCGCAAUGGGCGAAAGCCGGACGGGGCAACGCCGCGUGAGUGAUGAAGGUCUUCGGAUCGUAAAACUCUGUUAUUAGGGAAGAACAAAUGUGUAAGUAACUAUGCACGUCUUGACGGUACCUAAUCAGAAAGCCACGGCUAACUACGUG